UACGGAGGUGGCAAGCGUUGUUCGGAAUUACUGGGCGUAAAGCGUGCGCAGGCGGUUUUGUAAGUCUGAUGUGAAAUCCCCGGGCUCAACCUGGGAAUUGCAUUGGAGACUGCAAGGCUAGAAUCUGGCAGAGGGGGGUAGAAUUCCACGUGUGAGCAGUGAAAUGCGUAGAGAUGUGGAGGAACACCGAUGGCGAAGGCAGCCCCCUGGGUCAAGAUUGACGCUCAUGCACGAAAGCGUGGGGAGCAAACAGG
rnacentral:rRNA from 1 species